GCAGAUGUAGCUUAGAGGUAAAAGUGCUUGCCUAGCAAGCACGAGGUCUUAGGUUCAAUCCCCAGCACUGUC
rnacentral:tRNA from 1 species